rnacentral:lncRNA from 1 species
GAUCGCUGUCAUCAGUCAAGGCUGCCGGAGGGUUGUUUUCACGAGUUCUCUCAAAUGCUGCAGGAGCUUAGGAACAGUUCCCAACAGGAUCCUAGAGAGGCUGUUGGUGUGCUAUGGAGAAUACCCCAAACCUCUUCCUUGCCCAUCUCGCUUACAGAGUUGAGCUGCCAGAAGCCAGUCCAGAGCUCGCACUCUGGGCUCAGAGAUCCCCAGUGCCUAUCAGUCUAUUCACCUUCCAGCUCAUGUGAGAACUGUGAAGCCUCCACUUCCUCAAAUACCCACAGCACUGGGCUUUUGCGGGUUGUGAAUGAGAGAAGUGGUCAGGAAGAUGCUCUGCUCUCCCCGGGAGACAUCACCAAAGACACGAGAGGAAACUCUGGCCCAAGCUCACCUGAUGCUCAGAAUAACAGAAUUGAGACUCUAAGCCAGUGAAGGUGGCUGACCUGGGCCUGUACAGGCCAACUGCUCAUCCCUACUGAUAUUCUCACCUCACCUUUUCAGUGUGGGUGGGAAUAAACUGGGUCCCCUCUUCUCA